GUGCCAGCAGCCGCGGUAAUACGGAGGAUCCGAGCGUUAUCCGGAAUUAUUGGGUUUAAAGGGUGCGUAGGCGGCCAUUUAAGUCAGCGGUGAAACUUUGCAGCUUAACUGUAACAGUGCCGUUGAUACUGUUUGGCUAGGAUUUGGUUGUAGUGUGCGGAAUGUGUGGUGUAGCGGUGAAAUGCUUAGAUAUCACACAGAACACCGAUUGCGAAGGCAGCACACUAAGUCAUUAUUGACGCUGAGGCACGAAAGUGUGGGGAUUAAAGAGGCUUAGAUACCCUGGUAGUUCACACUGUAAAACGAUGAUAACUCGCUGUCGGCGAUACACAGUCGGUGGCCAAGCGAAAGCAUUAAGUUAUCCACCUGGGGAGUACGACCGCAAGGUUGAAACUCAAAGGAAUUGACGGGGGCCCGCACAAGCGGAGGAACAUGUGGUUUAAUUCGAUGAUACGCGAGGAACCUUACCCGGGCUCGAACGGUGCAUGAAUAUACGAGAGAUUGUAUAGUCCUUCGGGACAUGUAUCGAGGUGCUGCAUGGUUGUCGUCAGCUCGUGCCGUGAGGUGUCGGCUUAAGUGCCAUAACGAGCGCAACCCUUGUCAUUAGUUGCCAUCAGGUCAAGCUGGGGACUUUAAUGAGACUGCCACCGUAAGGUGUGAGGAAGGGGGGGAUGACGUCAAAUCAGCACGGCCCUUAUGUCCGGGGCGACACACGUGUUACAAUGGGAGGUACAGAGGGCAGCUAUCCGGUGACGGAAUGCUAAUCUCCAGAACCUUUCUCAGUUCGGAUUGGAGUCUGCAACUCGACUCCAUGAAGGUGGAUUCGCUAGUAAUCGCGCAUCAGCCAUGGCGCG
rnacentral:rRNA from 1 species